rnacentral:rRNA from 1 species
AACGCGAAGAACCUUACCUACUUUUGACAUGUUGCGAAGGAUUCUGAGAAGGAUCUGUGCCGAAAGGAACGCAAACACAGGUGCUGCAUGGCUGUCGUCAGCUCGUGUCGUGAGAUGUUGGGUUAAGUCCCGUAACGAGCGCAACCCCUAUUCUUGGUUGCUAACAGGUAAUGCUGAGGACUCAAAGAAGACUGCCGGUGACAAACCGGAGGAAGGUGGGGAUGACGUCAAGUCAUCAUGGCCUUUAUAAGUAGGGCUACACACAUGCUACAAUGGCGCGUACAGAGGGGAGCGAACCUGCGAAGGGGAGCGAAUCCUAAAAAACGCGUCGUAGUCCGGAUUGGAGUCUGCAACUCGACUCCAUGAAGCUGGAAUCGCUAGUAAUCGCGAAUCAGAACGUCGCGGUGAAUACGUUCCCGGGCCUUGUACACACCGCGUGUCU